rnacentral:rRNA from 1 species
CAGUCGAACGAGUUCUCGUUGAUGAUCGGUGCUUGCACCGAGAUUCAACAUGGAACGAGUGGCGGACGGGUGAGUAACACGUGGGUAACCUGCCCUUAAGUGGGGGAUAACAUUUGGAAACAGAUGCUAAUACCGCAUAGAUCCAAGAACCGCAUGGUUCUUGGCUGAAAGAUGGCGUAAGCUAUCGCUUUUGGAUGGACCCGCGGCGUAUUAGCUAGUUGGUGAGGCAAUGGCUCACCAAGGCGAUGAUACGUAGCCGAACUGAGAGGUUGAUCGGCCACAUUGGGACUGAGACACGGCCCAAACUCCUACGGGAGGCAGCAGUAGGGAAUCUUCCACAAUGGACGCAAGUCUGAUGGAGCAACGCCGCGUGAGUGAAGAAGGCUUUCGGGUCGUAAAACUCUGUUGUUGGAGAAGAAUGGUCGGCAGAGUAACUGUUGCCGGCGUGACGGUAUCCAACCAGAAAGCCACGGCUAACUACGUGCCAGCAGCCGCGGUAAUACGUAGGUGGCAAGCGUUAUCCGGAUUUAUUGGGCGUAAAGCGAGCGCAGGCGGUUUUUUAAGUCUGAUGUGAAAGCCCUCGGCUUAACCGAGGAAGCGCAUCGGAAACUGGGAAACUUGAGUGCAGAAGAGGACAGUGGAACUCCAUGUGUAGCGGUGAAAUGCGUAGAUAUAUGGAAGAACACCAGUGGCGAAGGCGGCUGUCUGGUCUGUAACUGACGCUGAGGCUCGAAAGCAUGGGUAGCGAACAGGAUUAGAUACCCUGGUAGUCCAUGCCGUANACGAUGAAUGCUAGGUGUUGGAGGGUUUCCGCCCUUCAGUGCCGCAGCUAACGCAUUAAGCAUUCCGCCUGGGGAGUACGACCGCAAGGUUGAAACU